UACGUAGGGUGCGAGCGUUAAUCGGAAUUACUGGGCGUAAAGCGUGCGCAGGCGGUUUUGUAAGACAGAUGUGAAAUCCCCGGGCUCAACCUGGGAACUGCAUUUGUGACUGCAUGGCUAGAGUGUGUCAGAGGGGGGUAGAAUUCCACGUGUAGCAGUGAAAUGCGUAGAUAUGUGGAGGAAUACCGAUGGCGAAGGCAGCCCCCUGGGAUAACACUGACGCUCAUGCACGAAAGCGUGGGGUGCAAACAGG
rnacentral:rRNA from 1 species